GCCCUAAAUCAAGCCUAUAAACCCAUUCUAUAUAUUAAUAUAUUUAUUAAUUUUAAAACAAAACAUUUUUAUAUUCUAGUAGAGGCGAUUAAAAAACUUAUAAGCGCUUUAUAAAAAGUACCGCAAGGGAGAGAUGAAAUAGAUUUGAAAUAGCCCUAAAGCACAACACAGCAGAGAUUAUACCUCG
rnacentral:rRNA from 1 species